UACAGAGGUCUCAAGCGUUGUUCGGAUUCAUUGGGCGUAAAGGGUGUGUAGGUGGCAGUGUUAGUCUAUCGUUAAAUCCCGGAGCUUAACUCCGGACCUGCGAUAGAUACGGCACAGCUAGAGGAUGCGAGGGAUGUAUGGAACUCAUGGAGUAGGGGUGAAAUCCGUUGAUAUGCAUGGGGAACACCAAAAGCGAAGGCAGUAACAUUGGCGCACUCCGUGACACUGAAACACGGAAAGCGAUGGGUAGCGAAUGGG
rnacentral:rRNA from 1 species